AGAGUUUGAUCCUGGCUCAGGAUGAACGCUGGCGGCGUGCUUAACACAUGCAAGUCGAACGAAGCACUUUAUUUGAUUUCCUUCAGGACUGAUUAUUUUGUGACUGAGUGGCGGACGGGUGAGUAACGCGUGGGUAACCUGCCUUGUACAGGGGGAUAACAGUUGGAAACGGCUGCUAAUACCGCAUAAGCGCACGGCAUCGCAUGAUGCAGUGUGAAAAACUCCGGUGGUAUAAGAUGGACCCGCGUUGGAUUAGCUAGUUGGUGAGGUAACGGCCCACCAAGGCGACGAUCCAUAGCCGACCUGAGAGGGUGACCGGCCACAUUGGGACUGAGACACGGCCCAAACUCCUACGGGAGGCAGCAGUGGGGAAUAUUGCACAAUGGGCGAAAGCCUGAUGCAGCGACGCCGCGUGAGCGAAGAAGUAUUUCGGUAUGUAAAGCUCUAUCAGCAGGGAAGAUAAUGACGGUACCUGACUAAGAAGCACCGGCUAAAUACGUGCCAGCAGCCGCGGUAAUACGUAUGGUGCAAGCGUUAUCCGGAUUUACUGGGUGUAAAGGGAGCGCAGGCGGUGCGGCAAGUCUGAUGUGAAAGCCCGGGGCUCAACCCCGGUACUGCAUUGGAAACUGUCGUACUAGAGUGUCGGAGGGGUAAGCGGAAUUCCUAGUGUAGCGGUGAAAUGCGUAGAUAUUAGGAGGAACACCAGUGGCGAAGGCGGCUUACUGGACGAUAACUGACGCUGAGGCUCGAAAGCGUGGGGAGCAAACAGAAAAGGAUACCCUGGUAGUCCACGCCGUAAACG
rnacentral:rRNA from 1 species